GUGAGGAAUCUUCCACAAUGGGCGAAAGCCUGAUGGAGCAACGCCGCGUGAAGGAUGAAGGUCUUCGGAUUGUAAACUUCUUUUAUGAGUGAAGAAUAUGACGGUAACUCAUGAAUAAGCACCGGCUAACUACGUGCCAGCAGCCGCGGUCAUACGUAGGGUGCAAGCAUUAUCCGGAGUGACUGGGCGUAAAGAGUUGCGUAGGCGGUUAUGUAAGCGAAUAGUGAAACCUGGUGGCUCAACCACACAGACUAUUAUUCGAACUGCAUAACUCGAGAAUGGUAGAGGUAACUGGAAUUUCUUGUGUAGGAGUGAAAUCCGUAGAUAUAAGAAGGAACACCAAUGGCGUAGGCAGGUUACUGGGCCAUUUCUGACGCUAAGGCACGAAAGCGUGGGGAUCAAACAGGAUUAGAAACCCGUGUAGUCC
rnacentral:rRNA from 1 species